UGCCGAAAUUUUAUCAUAAAUGCAACAAAUAGUGAACUUUUCAUACAUGAACUCAAAUAAAGAAUACCGUUUGUCAUUUCCGUGCGCAAGCCACUUUUAGGAGAGCAAAAGCCGACCACCCCCCUGGAUAGCAAAAUUUACUAUUUUCAAUUUUUUUUAUAUUUUCCAUAAUUUAAGAACUCAAGCAAUCCAUAAAUAUAAAAAAUUACAUUUCAUGAACAGAAUUGUGGAAUUUAGAGCAAUUUCAAAAUUG